GCGGAGAGGAAGCCGGGCGUGUGCCGCCGCGGCGGGACGGUGGGACCGGUGCGUGCGGGGAGCUCCGGGCCGGCGCGGCCUGGGAACUUCCCGGCGUGCGUGACGCGGAUCAGCGGGGCGGCGGGUGGCGUGCCCUCGCUCUGGACCGGAAGCCUGGGAUCCUUGGGGCCUGGGUUCAGAUCCCAACUCCACCGCCCAAGCUCAGGGUCCUUGCUUGCAUAAUGGGGACGCGCCGCGGUUAACGGAGGUGGAGCGCCGGGACCCUCCUAGGCCUGCAGGCUGGAACACUAAUUGUAACACUCCUCGAGCGGUGGAACGCCCCUUCGGGGGAGUCUUCACCCCCACGCCCCCUGUCUGUGCGCCCUCCGACCGGUGGGCCUGGGGCUCCCGGCCUCCUGGCCAAAGGCGCGAAGGGCGUGGUCAGGACCUCGGGGCGCAAACUUGCGGGAGCCGUGGAAAGCUGUGCGGAGGGGAGGUUCCUGGACUCGUCCUGGAACCGCGGGGCGAGAGGCCAGAUCGGGCGCGGUGUGGCCAGAGGGGGCGGUCACGAAGCCGCGGCUCUGGAAGGCCUCGGGGCCUGGUCCGCCUGGCGGAAGGGAGGGAAUCUCCUCGUGAAGUCCGGACUGUCCGGUUGGGACUCGGUUUGGCCGGGCGCUUUCUCCCUCACCGUGAGUCAGAUGACAACUUCAGGCCUUCGCCCAACUUCCUUCAUGCUCUUGCAAUCAGGACACACAGUCCGGUGUUUCCGGGUUGCAGAUCUCACAGUUCUUUUAUUUGCAUGUUACUAUUUCUGAAAUCGACAAGGAGGUUACCAUGGAUAUAUACCUCACGGACAGGUUUUAAAGAUUAUAUAUACUUGCUACUAGGGGAUACCUGUCAGGUGCAUUAACUAUCGUGGUGAGCAGAGGCCACUCUAAAUCCAAUGAUCCUGCAUGGUGUCCUUUUAUUCUUAGAAUCUAAAGAGAACAUCCACUGAUCUGAGACCCAAACCCAGGUCUGCUGACUCCUAGUCCAGUGCUUGUGAUGGCUGGUGGGCCCUGAACUAGGGGUCUGGAGGCCUGGGUUUGAAUAUCACCAGUCUCUGACAAGACUCAUGAGCCAGGAAAGCGUGUGGGCCCUAGGAGAAGCCCAGACCCAAAACACAGGUGGGAGUUGGCCAGAGGCCUCGAGGUCAUGGAGAUUAAACUGGACAACCUACAUCCGGGUGACUCACCUCUAGGAACGGGUCCCUGGGUUGCUGAGGCCUCAAGGGGGAAAGCACAGAUGCCUGCAGCCUCCGUAUCUGUCUUUGGAGGUUUGAGAGGAGAGUCAAGAACCUUAACAGGGCAGUAAGUCAGAAAAUUCUUAUGGACAGAUUAAUAAGGAGACAAAGAGAACGCAAGUGCCUUUAAGUUAAUGUUGUGCUUAGGGCAGCUUGCGUGAGCCCUGACUCCUGUCCUUGGGCCAGCCCAACAGCCUGGUACGCAAUAAGCACUCAGUAUUUAGAAAGCUCCUUGGGGAAAGCUGCAUUUGAGCAGACACUGCAGGCAUCCAGGUGGGGGAUCCGCAGAGGUAGCGGUGGGAUGGAUCCUGGAUCCUGCAGGUCAGGCAGGCGGUGAGCUGUGCACCCUGCAGGGAGGACUUGGAGAGGGGCUGGACUGGGGGAGCCAGUGUUCAGGCUGAGGCUUGUUGGGUUUGGGGACAGAGGUCCAGCAAGUGGUGAGCAGUAGAGGGGUGGGCUCUGGGGCAGGUGUGCCCACGGUGGGUGCUGGGGGUUGACCUUCAACCGGGAGCACCCCAGGGCAGGUGCCUGUGCAUCCCAGAGUCUGCUGGAAACAGCAUUUGGGAGGCAGUGAGGAAGGGGCGAAGGCAGGCACUGCUAGGGGCUGGGGUCACUGGGAUGUGUGUACUGCUGGCUUACUAAACCACGAGACUACCCUGAAAGCCGUCCCUCCCUAAAGAAUCAUGCAAGGACUUCUUGGUGGUUCCACUGGUUAGAAAUCCACCUUGUGACCCAGGGGACACAGGUUCGAUCCCUGAUGGGGGAACUAAGAUCCCACAUGCCACGGCCAAGCAAGUUGGCACGCUGCAAUUAGAGAGCCCGUGUGCCUCAAGGAUCCCGAGAGUUGCAACUAGGACCUGACACCACCAAGUAACUUAAAAAAAACAAUCAUGCAUUUAAAAAAAGUUAUUCCUGCUGCCUGAGAAUCAUUCAUUCACUUGGGUGGUGCUCUGCACCUGGAGGGGGCACAGGGCAGACCCACCUCCCUGGUCUCCAGGGCCUCCCACGCAGCUGGCAGGGAGACCCAAAAGAAGUGAAGAUGCCUUAGCCAAGGAAAUGAGUUUGUAGGCAAUGGGCCUGCGUCAUUACAUCAGCCGCUGGGGUCCAUAUCUGUUCUGCUUCAUUUCCUGAGAAGAUUACAGUAGUCUGCUUUUUUAAACUUCUCACGUUCCACAGGGCCCCAGGACCCUCCUACCCUCCCAGGGGAGGCCACCUUGCAGGGGGUGCUCAGACCCCUGCCUUUAAGAAGUGGGAGGGGCCCAAGGCCAGAGCAGUAGGGGGACAGCAAGAAGGGGAAAUAUGCCACAGGGCACCAGGGGUCAGGCCAGGUCACUGAGAGCAUGUGGCAGAGAUUUUGUUUUGCAGGGUGUUUGUAAUUCCUGACACAAGACAGAUUGGGUGUGGGAAAAUUAGUAACAGCAGUCUCUCACCCUGGAAUCUACUGAAUUCAAUGGUGGGAGGUUAUUUGGCCCCCGGGGUUGGGUGGGGAGCAAGGCUGGAGUUCGAGAUGUCUCAGGGCCAGUGG
ensembl:lncRNA